CCUCUUCAUGGAAAUCUAUAAGCACUUCUUCAAAAAUAGAUGUUAGUGGAGAUGGCUAUAAACCACCAUUUGAAGUUAUUAGGAAUGCUGCUACACCAAGGAAUGAGAAUGAUAGUUUGGAAUUUUCUUGGAUUUCAGAUGAUCGAAAUUUGAAAUUCAAUGUCUACUUGUACUUUGCAGAAGUGGAGAAACUUAACAAAACUCAGUUGAGAGAAUUCGACGUAUCUUGGAAUGGUUCUCCUUUGAUUAAAUCAAUAAUACCAAGAUACUUGCAAGCAACCACUGUGUUUAAUUCGAAGUCGUUGGUCGCAAAUGAACAUCGAAUUUCAAUACAAAAAACUGAAGAUUCAACUCUUCCACCUAUACUUAAUGCAGUGGAGAUUUAUGUAGUAAGACAACUUGAUGCACUUCCAACAUCUGAAGAAGAUGGUAUGACAUGUUGUAACAUCUAAAAAGAUGUAUGAGACUAGAGUCCAAGUUAAGCUAAAUAAAUAUAAAUAAAACUUGAUUCAUUUUUAGAUCUUUAAUACACCAAUUACAUAUAUACAAUCAAAGUAGGGCAUAACUGUCAUUCAUAUGUAGGACCUAACCGUCAUUCAUAUGCAAUUACUUAUCUAUAACUUGCCAUGAUGCUGCGUUUGUUGUGAAUAAAUUAUCUCAACACAUGCAUGACCUAACUGUCAUUCAUAUGCAGACACUUGAACAUGUUCUGCGAUAUCUCAAACAUACAUUAGCACAUCUGACUCGCACAAAAAUAUUAGUCUAAUUGCCUUUUGCGAGGCAGACCGGGGAGGUGACACGAAUGAUAGAAAGUUUAUAGGAGUUUAUAGAAAGUUUAUCAUGGUCAUGCAACAAACAAUUUACAGUUGCACGCUAUCAACUGAGGGUGAGUAUCGUGCCAUUGGCUCCACCACUGCAAAAAUUCUUUGGUUGAAACAACUCUUACUAGAACUUGGCAUUCACACAUCUCAACCGCCAAUCAUUUUUUUUAUUAUAUUGGUGUAAAUUGUUUGUGAUCAAAUCCUAUUUUCCAUAUACGUAUGAGCAACCUAGCUAUCGACUACCAUUUUGUCUAUAAUCUUGUUGCUAAAAAGGAAUUUCAAGUCUCCCUUGUACCAUUGAGUCACCAUCUUGUAGAUUUCCUUAUCAAGCCACUCUCAUGAUCCAGUCGUCAAUUCCUAACCAACAAGAUUGGGUCGCCGACCCCUCCUCCAUUUUGCAGGGGGUAGGGGUGUUUGCGGUGCAGUUUAAUUCAGAUUUGAGGAUAAAAAUCAUCAUAACUACAAGAUGAAAAAACACGUGGUUUGGUUUGGUUCGAUUGGUUUUUAAAAGAAAACCAAUGCGGGUUGAAUUGAUUCGGAUGAUGCGGUUUUUUGCAAGAAAAAUAAUAAUAUUAAUGUUGAUGUCUCAAUACACAUGCACUGUUCCAAUAAACAUUCAACAAAAAAGAAAAAAUCCAAAUUGCGUUUGUUAGACUUAUAACUCUAUUUGAUGGAGGAUAUAAGCUAAGAACAUUGGAUGUUUUAAUAUGAUCUAGUUCUAUGAGAUAUGUUAUGCCAUGUAGUAUAUAUUUUUAUUUUUAUUUUUUUUAUUAUUAGAUCAAUAUUAAAUCACACUAUUGAAUCAAAUGAGAUCAUAAGAUGAAAUUUAUUGAUUUAAAAUAGUGCAAAAUAAACUCAUGUAUGAUAUUACGUGUGUACCAUAAUUUUUUUUUUUUUUUUAAGAUAGUGUACCAUAUACUUAAACUUUUAAUAUGAAUCUAAAAAAAGUUCCAUCUUUGCCCAUUUUCCUCAUGUUCAUGUACAUAUUAAAAGUAACCAAAAGAUGAGAUAAAAGUAGUUGGGCAUAGGUUAAAAGAUACUCCUUCCGUUUUAAAAUGAGUGUCGUUUUAGGUGUUGACACAUAAAUUAAGAAAUGAAAUGAAAUAAUCAUUAGAUAUAACAUUUUUAUUAAAUUGCCCUUUAUUUUAUAAGAAAAAGACAAACAUAAAGUUGCAUUGGAAAUUGUGUAAGAGAAAAGAAAAGUUGGAGUAUAUAUUGAAGGUAAAGUUGGAAGAAAGAAUGAAAGUUGUAUUGGAAAUGUAAAAUGACAUUCAUUUUGAAACAAUUUUUUUUGAUUAAAGUGACAUUCAUUUUAAAACGGAGGAGUAAUAAAUAUUUGAUUAAAAAUAGGUGGUCAUAAGUAAUUUGACGAUGGGUCUGUUUGGUAAUACACCUCAACGAGCUUAUAGCUUAUAGCUUAUAAGCUCGUCUGACAAAAAAAACUCUGUUUGGUAAUACUUUUUCACCAUGAGCUUAUAGCUUAUUUCACGAGCUUAUAAGCUAUUUUUCAGAAGCUAUUCCAAGUAACGUUUGAGCUUAUAGCUUACAGCUUCUCAAAAUUUCUUCCAUUUUUACCCUUAAUAUUUUAUCUAAAAUCCAUUUUUAUCCUUUAUAAUUUAUUAUAAUUUAACUAAUAGAUAUAAUUACCUUAUAAAUAUCCAUUGUCUUCCUUUGUUGUAAUAAUAGAUAUAAUUAUGUUUUUAUACAAUUGCAGUAUACCUACAUCAUAAUAUAUAUAUAUUUUUUCAUAAAUAAAAAUGAUCAAUGCCUUCCGUUUAAAUAAAAAAAAUCAUGAAUUAUGUUAUAAUUUUUGAUAAAAAGGGCAAAAAAAAAAAUAGUGACGUUUAAAUUUUUUAGUUAGUCUUACAUUAUUUUUAUUACUUAAAUUCACUAAACUUGUUAUAUUUUAUUUCCAUACUUUUUUUUUAUAUCCAAAUCUUUUACUCUUUAUAUUUUGUUUUCUCAGUAGAUACUCUUUAUAUUUUUCUAAAUAUAAUGCAUAAAAAAUAUAUUAAAUUAAUAAAUUAUAAAUACUUAAAUAUUAAUGAAUAUAAAUUUUAAUAUGAAAUAAGAAUGUCCUUUUAUAUCAUUUUAUAUUUAUAAGUCAGUUGAACCGCUAAUAUUACCAAACACUUCAACUAGCUUAUCAGCUAUAAGUCAUCAGCUAUAAGCUAUCAGUCAUCAGCUAUCAGCUAUAAUCUAUCAGCUAGCUUAUAAGUUAUCCUCUAUUUUUACCAAACAGAGCUGAUAUGGAUGAGAAUGUCGGAAUGUACAUAAAAGCAAUUUUGAUAAAUAGUUGUUGAAUAAUAUAUCUUUUCUUAGUAAAGUUGUUGAAAUAGUACAUAUAUUAAAUGGUAAAUCCCGACUUUUUAAUGGAUGCAUCCGUUUAAAGCUUAGAAAAUUGAUGUCAUGUUAAAAAAAUUGUGUGUUAUUUACACAACCAAAAUUAGACUACCAAUGCAACAUUCUAUAAAAUUGUGAGGUGCAUAGAAAAUUGAAAUCUAGAUAGGGCAAAAAAAUAUUUAAAAAUAGUAAAACAAGUUGGUGGUUAUACAGAUCGUUUUUUUUCACAAAUCAUUCCUCAUGUGGAAAUACAUGAAUAACCCCUAAAAAAAGUCAUACAUAAAUGAAUAAUGGUAAGUCAUAAUGUGAGACAAUUCAUGACGAAACUUUUACUUUCUACUCAAAAGAAAAUAUAAUAUUCUAAUGGUUUAGACUCUAUCCAUUUGUGAUUAAAUAAUAGCUUUAGGUAAAUUUUUUGUUAAAUUCUAAACCCACUUAAUUAUAAACAAAUGGAUUCUACGUAAUAUAAGGUCCCAUUAAUCCAAUUGUUUUACGUAAUACUUAAUUAACAUAAUUACGUGACAUGGUGUGCAAUGCACGACAUAGACUAGAGCCACUCACCUAAUAUUUUAUCAUUUUAUUCACGGACAAAUAAUUGAAGCCUUUUUCGUGUUUGGCUUCUUAUACUUUGUCUUCACAUUUAAUUUAUGGAAAUCAAACCCUUGUUUCAAACUUUGAAAUUAUCACCUUUGUGCACCACAUGUUUCUUAUUUUUAAUUUUCUGAGUUGGUGAGUAACCAAUGAUAUUAAUUAUUUGGAGACUUCUACGAUACAUUCCGUACAAUUGUUUUCUUCAUUAACUAUUUUUAAUAAUAAAAAAACAUUUCAUUAAAAUAUAUUAUUUCUAUAUUUUUACCUAAGAAAUAACAUUCAUUAUAUAUUCUCCUAAAAAAAGAAAAAUCUUCAUUAUUAUAUUAGCAAUAGCAAACUCUGUUAUUUUCUCCCAAAAAAAAAACUUUAUUAUUUUAAAUGUUGUUUCAACAAGACUUUUAAUAAAUAUUUUAAAAAAAAUAAGACUAUUAAUAAAUGAUAUUUAGUUAUUACAAUUUUUUAAAUGAUUAAAAUAUAACAAUAUUAAAUUUUUGAAAUUUAUUUUAUCAACCAUUGCGAUCUUACCCGACUCUAAAAUAUCUGUUCAAACCUAAAAGAUAUUCAUAGUUUUUACUCCAUUCGUCCCAUAAUAACUGAGCCAUUUGUAAAAAAUAUUGUCCUAAGAAUAGUCGUCCAUUUCACUUUUCAAUACAACAUUAAUUACUUUUUUCAAUUAUAACUUUAAUUAAUACUACUUUCAUCACUCUUAAUUUAAUAUAUUCUAAUUUACAUUUGAUGAAUAUUAUUUGAACAUCCAAUUUUUAAGACAACUUAUUGGACAAUCAAAAUGUAUAAAGAAAUGUAAGGAUCGUCACAAAAACCAAAGCAAUGGAGAUAUAAAGUAUAAUACAAUGUGAGUAUGAGAGAGAAAAUUGUCACAAAAGUUGUCAUAAAAUAGUUGCUCAAAUAUCAUUUCUCUUUAUAUUUAUGAUAAAGAAGAAUGCACCAAUACUAGACAAGGACAAUCAAAACUAUUUUUUUCUCUCUUUAAUUUACACAUGUUUCUUAAUCUGUGUGAAAUGGUCAACUAACUCGGUUAAACUGAGCCGAAGGGAGCAUUACAUAAUAAGUCAUUUGACUAUUCUUUCAAAAAAAAAAAAAAAAAAAAAAACUCAUUUGACUAUUGAUGAAAAGACCAACCAUACCAAACAUGUUGAUUGUGUACAUGCACUUAGAAAUCCUUCAAUUAUUAAAUGUAAAAACAUUGCAAAUUGCUUUCAUAGUAUUAUUUUUCUAUGCGAUAAUUUGAUGUGUUAGGUAGGUGGUUUUGUCCAAGUCAUCAAAACCGUAUAUUUGACUAACUAUUAUGCUUUAAGACCCUUGUUUUCAUGAAUUACUAGGUUGUUUCUUCUAGCAAACAAAAAUGUUUCCAGCAUGCAUAUCAAGUUUGUAACAUCAUUAUAGAAUUUCACAAGGCUCCUCUUAUUCUUGGUUCAGCGAUGGCAAAUUCAAUUGGAUUCUUUCUGUUUUUGGUUGUUUGCUUUGGUGUUGCAGUUUUAGUUCACGCACAACAACAAACAGGUAAGCAUUUUCCAUCAGCUUCUACAAGAGAAUCAUUAUUCAUUCUGUAGAAUGUUUUAGAAUGUUUUAUGAUGUUGUAGAAAUGUUUUCUGUAAGUUCAUAUUUGAUUUGACGGUGAGUUAGACAAAAUCACGGAGUAACUCUGAUUUUUGCAAAAGUCACACUUUGGUGCCUCAACAAAAUCUCGCUGAUUGAAGACAAGUGUAGCACCGACACCUAGGAUGUAGCACUGACACCUCAGAUUGAAGACAAGUGUGUUGUUGAAUAUAUGUUUGGUUUCCGACACCAUGUCGAAUGUCAAUAUCCAUAAAUGACACAUGUGGUUACAUUCAAUCACUUUCACUUUCUCAAAUUAUUACCAACAUCGACUUAUCAGAGUAUCAUGCCUGAUGUCUAUGCAUGUGUCAGUGCUUCAUAGGCUACUUACGCGUUACAAGAUGUUUUUAUGGAUAUCCAAACAAUAGUACAUAUACUGUUUUCAUGAGUUAAGGCUAAAUUAACUCUUCACUUUGAUGUAAACCAACAAUAGGUUUGUAGGAUUGGCUAAUCUAAAAAACUUUUCUAGGGAAUGCUUAUCCAUAAGUUAUUUUGUGAAAUUUAUUGAAAAAUAUGAAAACAGCUUCGAAGUAGCACCGAUAUUUCAGAUUAAAAGUGUGCCUGGUGUCCAACACGUGUCUGACAACAACCGAUACCAAUAUAACACCAACAAAUGUGGUUACAUUCAAUCAUUUUCAUUUUUCAAAUUAUUAAUGGUGUGAUUAACUUAUUAGUGUCAUGUUUGAUGUCUGUGUCAGUGCUACAUAGGCUACUUACAUGUGGUCACAUUCAAUCAUUUUCAUUUCUCAAUCUAGUUGGUCUUUCUAUUCAGGCUUCAUAAGCAUUGAUUGUGGUGGUCCAGCAAAUUUUGAGUACACAGAUGAUGUAACUGAAAUAAAAUACGGCACAGAUGGAGCUUACAUACAAACAGGACUUAACAGAAACAUUUCUGCUAACUAUGCAUACCCAAAAAAUCCUAAUCUACCAUAUACAUUCUCAGAUCUCAGAAGUUUUCCUCAAGGAAACCGAAACUGUUACCGAUUAAUUGCCGGAAGAAAUGGCAGUUUACAUUUAAUAAGAGCUUCUUUCUUGUAUGGAAACUAUGACGGCGAAAACAAACUGCCUGAAUUUGAUCUCUAUGUUGGUGUAAAUUUAUGGUCAACAGUUAAAUUUAAGAAUGCUUCAGAAGGAGUUACAUUGGAAAUAAUCAGCAUGGCAACAUCAGAAGAAACAAAUGUUUGCCUUGUGAAUAAAGGAAAAGGAAUUCCUUUUAUCUCCGCGUUGGAACUUAGACCAGUUGAUAGUUCUAUUUAUAAAACUGAGUUCGGUGAUUCUGCUUCAUUGUUACUUUUCAAAAGAUGGGACAUUGGUUCAUUUAAUGGAAGUGGUAGAUAUCAAGACGAUGUUUACGAUAGAAUUUGGUUUCCUUUGAAUUCCUCUUCAUGGAAAUCUAUAAACACUUCUUCAAAAAUUGAUGUUAGUGGAGAUGGCUAUAAAGCACCGUUUGAAGUUAUUAGCAAUGCUGCUACACCAAGGAAUGAGAAUGUUAGUUUGGAUUUUUCUUGGAUUUCAGAUGAUCCAAAUUUGAAAUUCAAUGUCUACUUGUACUUUGCUGAAUUUGAGAAACUUAACAAAACUCAGUUGAGAAAAUUCAAUGUAUCUUGGAAUGGUUCUCCUUUGAUUAACUCAACAAUACCAAAAUACUUGCAAUCAACC
rnacentral:lncRNA from 1 species